UUUGCAAUUUCGCAUAAUUUACCUUAGUAACAUGGUUGAAGCAUAAGAAAGUACAUGCAUAAAUAUUACAUGACUAUGUUUCUUUGAUGGUUGUCCAAUAGGUUAAUUUUACAAAGUAAAACAAGAGUAAAACAAAAUAUCCAGAAAUUGAGCAAGAAAAACAAAAUACCAACCUUUCAUCAGCAGCAAACUAGCUAGCUCUUCGUCAGAUUUGCAUUUUUGAGCUAUUAAAUGGGACAAGUCCUCAUUAUCAGUGAAUUAAUAAUGAAUUUAAAAAACAAGGAUCAAGACUUGAAUAAUGGCCUAAAUAAUCCAUCCACGUUAACAUAUCGAAACAAGGAUGCUUCUUCAAAGUUUACAAUAAAGACUACGCAAAUGAUAUCAUGGCGCUGCUACCUCAGUAAUUUGAAGAAUAUUUCUUUUCUUUACAUGUACUAAAUUUGAAUCACAAUCUUAACUGCCAUAUCAAAAUCUUAGUCUAUGUUUCAAUGAGUAAGAAGGACCAUGUGCUUGAGCUAAUAAAUUCUAAAUACCAAACAGCUCCCAACAUGACAUUGGAUUUCAAAUACUUAUCUAUUUCAGAAGAUUACAGUGGCCACUUCAAACAUUGUCCCAUUUUUACCAUUAUUAUGCAAAGUGCCUGACAUUUUACCAUUUCAUAUUCCAUCAACAACUGAUACUGGAAUUUAACAACAGGAAAUCAUCAAAACAAUUAGACAUAGAAUAUCACAAUAAAAUUAACACCAAACAAAGCCGACAAAGACUAUACCAUUUGUAUCAAAUCUGAACUUUGAGUUCUACAACAAGAAAUAGCUAAGCAAAUAAACAUACCGGAAAAUCAGUGAUUGCUUAAAUGCCAAACAAAAGCUAAGAGAACGAAGAUGAAGCUCAGCAGAUCAGCAGUACAACAGCAAAUGGAUUUAAUCUUAGGUCGAAAACCAAACUGAAACCCAGAAAAUUGUGAUGAAAAGCUCAUCGAAUCCUAUCAACCCUAUGUUUUCU
rnacentral:lncRNA from 1 species